UGGGGGAAUAUUGCACAAUGGGGGGAAACCCUGAUGCAGCAACGCCGCGUGAAGGAAGACGGUUUUCGGAUUGUAAACUUCUGUUCUUAGUGUAAGAAUAAUGACGGUAGCUAAGGAGCAAGCCACGGCUAACUACGUGCCAGCAGCCGCGGUAAUACGUAGGUGGCAAGCGUUGUCCGGAUUUACUGGGUGUAAAGGGCGUGUAGCCGGGCCGACAAGUCAGAUGUGAAAUCCACGGGCUUAACCCGUGAACUGCAUUUGAAACUGUUGGUCUUGAGUAUCGGAGAGGUAACCGGAAUUCCUAGUGUAGCGGUGAAAUGCGUAGAUAUUAGGAAGAACACCAGUGGCGAAGGCGGGUUACUGGACGACAACUGACGGUGAGGCGCGAAAGCGUGAGGAGCAAACAGGAUUAGAUACCCUGGUAGU
rnacentral:rRNA from 1 species